rnacentral:tRNA from 1 species
AUUUAAGUAGUUUAAAGAAAAUUUCGAUUUGUGGAGUCGAAGAUAUAGUUCAUUAUCUUAGAUA